AGCGAAACGGGAAGAGCCCAAACCAACAAGCUUGCUUGUUGGGGUUGUAGGACACUCUAUACGGAGUUACAAAGGACGACAUUAGACGAAUCAUCUGGAAAGAUGAAUCAAAGAAGGUAAUAAUCCUGUAGUCGAAAAUGUUGUCUCUCUUGAGUGGAUCCUGAGUACGACGGAGCACGUGAAAUUCCGUCGGAAUCUGGGAGGACCAUCUCCUAAGGCUAAAUACUCUCUAGUGACCGAUAGUGAACCAGUACCGUGAGGGAAAGGUGAAAAGCACCCCGGAAGGGGAGUGAAAUAGAACCUGAAACCGUGUGCUUACAAGUAGUCAGAGCCCGUUAAUGGGUGAUGGCGUGCCUUUUGUAGAAUGAACCGGCGAGUUACGAUUUGAUGCAAGGUUAAGCAGUAAAUGUGGAGCCGUAGCGAAAGCGAGUCUGAAUAGGGCGUUUAGUAUUUGGUCGUAGACCCGAAACCAGGUGAUCUACCCUUGGUCAGGUUGAAGUUCAGGUAACACUGAAUGGAGGACCGAACCGACUUACGUUGAAAAGUGAGCGGAUGAACUGAGGGUAGCGGAGAAAUUCCAAUCGAACCUGGAGAUAGCUGGUUCUCUCCGAAAUAGCUUUAGGGCUAGCCUCAAGUGAUGAUUAUUGGAGGUAGAGCACUGUUUGGACGAGGGGCCCC
rnacentral:rRNA from 1 species